GGAAGAGCGUCGUCCCCGGUGGGGCGCGCGGCCUUCAAAGCCGUUGAGCCGCUGUUAAGGCGGCGGGUGGGUUCGACUCCUACCUCUUCCGCCA
rnacentral:tRNA from 1 species